AGCGCCCCCAUGUCCUGGAGCGGCGAGGGGCUCCCUGACAGCGGCCAGCGGUGGCCACACGCGGGGGUAGGUUCCAUUCCCACCAAUCUAGCUGUGACCCAUUUAAAUAUUUUAAUAAAAAGUGUAAAUAAUCACUGUUCUGAUACAUCUGCGGCUGUGAUUUGUUAAAUAGAUUCCUCACAACGGUGGAAGGAACUCGGCCCAGCCUUGCCCGAGAUGUAUUGCGGGGGAAUCUGUAAGUGCAUUAACCUUCUCGCUGUGACAUAAAAGACAGACUUGUUCUUAAAUAUUAGAUCCAUAAAACAAAGUUAAUAAAAACGGCAAUUACAUUUCUAAGGAAUGAGGGAUGUAAAUAAAAAGGUGCAGAUUGAUUUAAGCUUUUCUUGGCAUUCUGCUGGGGUGCAAACUGAUUUGUUUCCAGCUUCAGCUUGGAAACAGAAAUGAAAAUACACUUAAAAUUUUUUCUUAACACAGAGUUCAGGGAAGGGAACAGGCCACUGGAUACAUUUAAUAGAGAUCAUUUGAGGACGUCUUGGAGGAAAGCCCUGACCUCAUUUAAUUAUCCGAAUAGGGAUGGACAUUGUUUUCUCUUUUCCCUGCUUAAGCUUUCUUUAGUGUUUCCGUAAACUUUACAGAAACCACAGAUUUCAGAGGGAGAAAUGCAGUAUUCCCACCAUUAAAUCAAAGUAAAGGAGGCCUAACAUAGCCAGAGUCACAUUCCCCAUCUCCUGUAUCGGGCAGGAUAUCGUAAGGUUGGACACUAGCAUCAUACCUUUGUUAUUCAUUUUGGACUUACUCUAAGAACAAGUUAAUAUGUCUUUUGAUAACCUCUGUAAUUCUUGGGGUUUUUUUAAUUUUAAGUUUAGAAUCGUAAUAUCACAAUAAAAUGGAAUUACGUUUAAUUGACACAUAGAAACCAGGAGAGAGAGAAAGAGAGAGAAAGAGAGAGAGAGAGAGAGAGAGAGAGUGUGUGUGUGUGUGUGUAUCUGUGUGUAUGUGAGUAUUUCUUAGAUUUCCCCCUACAGAUUUUUAGAGAAAUGUAUUGCUCUGUUUCUGAUAAGCAAAAGAUUGAGUCAAUAAAUUAUAAGAUUUUCAGUGGAUAUAUUGCAGGCUACUGUAUUUUACAGUGAGAAGCAAUGGUUUUGUUUUUAGUGAAGACCUAAGUGUCGGCUAUCACCCGUAUGAACCUCUGGUCACCUGAAGUCAUUGGAGAAAUAGAAACCAAGCUUAGUGUUUGACUUGCUUUGUAAAGGUGUGCUUUUCGAUUUUUUUUUUUUUAAUGUUUAUUUUUGAGAGAAAGAGAGAGAGCAUGAGCAGGGGAGGGGCAGAGAGAGAGAGGGAGACACAGAAUCCUAAGCAGGCUCUAGGCUCUGAGCUGUCAGCAUAGAGCCCACUGGGGCGGGGUGGUGGGGGGGGCCUCGAACUCACGACUGUGAGUUCGUGACCUGAGCUGAAGUUGGACGCUCAACCGCCUGAGCCAUCCAGGCGCCCUGCUUUUCGACUUUUUGUGGUCUUUUCGUCAGGAGAAUUCCUGCGCGUUGUGCUUCAUUCCCUGGUGUAGUCCUUGAACAAGGGCGGAGGCAGAGAUCCAGCGGUCGGAACUUACUGUACUUUAGGUUGGUUCGUACAACAGCUGCACCUGCGCUGGAUACAAAUACGUGAUGUUUACCUGGAGAGACACAUUGUGAGUAAAUUGUGUCAGUGCUGGUGACUAGAUGGUGACCUUCCUUGUCCUCGUCCCAUUUCCAUGGAAUGUAUCUCUCAAAUCCCCCCAUCUGUUGGGCAAAUACUUGGAACGUAGUGUGGAUUCUUACUGCUCUAAGAGGUUGUGUUCUGGCAUGAAUGGCUUAAAGAAAAAAAAUUUGGCUCAAACAGCUGAUUGGAUCAUUUUAGCUAAUAUUCUGUUUGAACAACAGUAUCUAUUUGAUUAGGAUUUUUCCUUCCUUUGUAACUCCCCAGGCUUGCCUCUGUUAUGUUUCAUAGGAAAUGAAUCUGUGAGCAGAGAACCUAUAUUGAUAUGUAAAUACAUCAUUUUUUCGUCAGUGCUCGAUAUUCUUUUCAUCUAAAUUUCAGAAACCGACUUUAAAAAAUCAGUUUCCCUUUAUCAGUAGUCAUUCUCAAUAAAACUUUACCCAGGCUUGGGUGAUUUAAUAUUUACACCCACUGUUUCUAAAAGUCUUAUGUAAAUAAAGAUUGAAAUGUGAAUUUGAAAAGUCACACCUCUUGAUAUUUGAACAGACUAUAGCUGCGUAUAUCUUCUUUUUCUAAUAAUACGGCUAGUUUCUCUCCUAAGCUUUUAAAAUAAUAAGACGCUAUUUUUGUAUUCUGGAACAUCAAAAGGUUCAGUGUUAAAUAAAAAGCAAAUAGUAUUUUUAGAAAUGUGAGAUCCCAGGGAGCAGUGCUUACCAGGAAAUCACCAACAGACAGCAAGUCCGACUUGCAGAAGACUUCAUUAGACACACGGCUCCAUCCACAGACGUGUGCCUGUGCACACAAGUGUGCCCCUUCUGUACCACUGUUCCCGUAGUGGAGCCAGGGUGGUGACCUUGGGUCACAGAGAAGCACAGGGUGCACCGGGGAGUCUGUGGGGCCCUAAAGGGAAACUCCCCUUCUUUGGUGCUCCCCGCCUCCCCCAUAACCUCCUUUGUGCCUCGUUUUCUGGUGUGGUUCUGACUUGGCGGGACCUCACCUGAUCGGCCGGUCCUGCCCUGCGUCCUCAGGCAGCUGUCGCAGCUCGGAGCCUGAGUUUCUGCUGUCAUUCUACUCCUGAGCUCUUGGUUUUUAGCACGAAUCAUUUCUCAUGAAUGCAGGGUCUUGGCUUCUCGCGUAUGCGGGGACUUCUCGGUUGCCCUUCUCCAUCCGCCUUGUCGCCCAGGCUGGCGCGUGGUCUCCUCCCUGUGCGGUCUGUUCUGGCUCCCCUUGCAGCGACCGCCAUUUGGGCCUUGCCGCGGGGUCUCUGCUGUCGUGCGUGCUGUUCCUCGGAGGCACCUUCUCUUAGCCCUGCUUCGUCCUGCUCGGGUGACCGACGGCUGCAGUGAAAGUGGCCCCUGUCCUUGUGGUGGGACGUGGCGUNNNNNNNNNNNNNNNNNNNNNNNNNNNNNNNNNNNNNNNNNNNNNNNNNNNNNNNNNNNNNNNNNNNNNNNNNNNNNNNNNNNNNNNNNNNNNNNNNNNNNNNNNNNNNNNNNNNNNNNNNNNNNNNNNNNNNNNNNNNNNNNNNNNNNNNNNNNNNNNNNNNNNNNNNNNNNNNNNNNNNNNNNNNNNNNNNNNNNNNNNNNNNNNNNNNNNNNNNNNNNNNNNNNNNNNNNNNNNNNNNNNNNNNNNNNNNNNNNNNNNNNNNNNNNNNNACCCAAUAGGGCCGUGAAAGGUCUGUAGGGCAGUCGAAUGAAGGUACGUGGUGUGGGGGUGGGGGCACCAUAAGGCAGGAAAUUGUAGGAAAAGCAGAUCUCCCUUGUUCGUUGAGGUGCUGUGUCCNNNNNNNNNNNNNNNNNNNNNNNNNNNNNNNNNNNNNNNNNNNNNNNNNNNNNNNNNNNNNNNNNNNNNNNNNNNNNNNNNNNNNNNNNNNNNNNNNNNNNNNNNNNNNNNNNNNNNNNNNUUCUCAGCUCUGUGCCCCACCUUUGCUCUGCUCUGUGUUGUGGAGACUGUGCUUCCAGACUCCUUGGCUUCUGGUUUCNNNNNNNNNNNNNNNNNNNNNNNNNNNNNNNNNNNNNNNNNNNNNNNNNNNNNNNNNNNNNNNNNNNNNNNNNNNNNNNNNNNNNNNNNNNNNNNNNNNNNNNNNNNNNNNNNNNNNNNNNNNNNNNNNNNNNNNNNNNNNNNNNNNNNNNNNNNNNNNNNNNNNNNNNNNNNNNNNNNNNNNNNNNNNNNNNNNNNNNNNNNNNNNNNNNNNNNNNNNNNNNNNNNNNNNNNNNNNNNNNNNNNNNNNNNNNNNNNNNNNNNNNNNNNNNNNNNNNNNNNNNNNNNNNNNNNNNNNNNNNNNNNAUUAAAUUCCCUGCAUGAAAUACCUGCAUUCGUUUCUGAACUGUAUCCUACCUAAUUGCCUGAAGAGUAAACCAGUCCUCUUGGACAAAAAAAAAAAAAAAAAAAAAGGAUCGCAGUUUUAAACACGGGCCUCUGGGUCUCUGUUGCCCAUCCUCAGGCCUCAGGGUGUGGUUCAGCAAGCGUGGUGUUUCGCAGCACGGGCAGAGCCUGCCCCAGCCCGGAGCUGCCUGGGCGACGUGGUGAGCCCGAGCAUUAAAUCGAAAGAGUCAGGCCCUUUAAUAUUGCUCAUCACUGGUGGUGUUUGUUCUGUUAUCUGGGGUGAGCUGGGUUUUAUUACCUAAACUGGUGCUGAAUUGCCACAUAAAAGCUGAUGUGCAAACCACGAUGUUUUGGUUUUAUGGAUCCCCCCCCCCAACACACACACCCCAACAAGUUGAUUUUAGAUAACAGCCUGUUCAUUAGUGAUGAGGGCAGGUACUAAGGGAAGUAGACCUAAUAAGCCUCUGUGCUGUUCCCACGCUGACACUGAAGUCCCUUGACUGACAGUGCAGGGGAGGGGCGGGAGAAGGAGAGGCGGGGGGGGGGGGGGGGGGGUGGGGNGUGCGGGGGAGGGGCGGGAGAAGGAGAGGCGGGCGGGGCGUGGGGUGUGUGGUCCAGCCUGUUGUCCAGCCUCCCGGCUGCAGCAGCCCAAGUAUGGUUACUCUGAUUCUGAAUGGAUAUUCUUGUUUUCUUUGUACUUUUUAUCUCCAAAUGCGUGACCUUUAAAAUAUUUGUUUUGUGUUAUUUACCCACCUGUCUGAUUGGUAAGUGCUUCCUACAUCUGUGGCAUCUCUAAAUACUGGGCUGAGACAGGAACCAACCCAGGGCCCAGGGUGCAGAGAGCCUGCCUUUCUCCUGGCCUGCGUCGCAGCAGGAGGAUGGCUGUGGCCAAGCUUAGCGGUCCAGGCGUCUAGCGGGGAUGAGGCCGGGAUGAAAACGUGGUGUUCUGACGCGGCCGAAGGAAGAUCGACGAGCAGCUGUUUGCUUUUUGUGCCCCAUUUCAGCACUAGCUGCUUCUGGUCAGUCCUUCAUUCUUAUGUCCUGAGAGAGGAAAACACAGUCAGGUGGGUUCAAGGGAAAUUUCAUCGGUUAUCCCGUAAGAAUCAAAUCAUGCUUGUGCAUUUCCCCAGCUUGGCCAAGGAUGCCAGAGUUUGUUGAACCUCGUGCAUUCGUGCUUGAGGAGAACGGGGUCCACCGUGGUGGGCGAGCAGGCGGGCUCCAGCGGUCACCGCAGCCCGCCCCUCCGCCCGCUCCUCUCAGCUGGUCUCUGUGUGUGUUUACAGCCUGCGUGCCAGCCUCACCAGCCCCCCAACCCCGCACAUGGCCGCAGAGAUCAGCUCUCACCUGCUGAGAGGUGCUGCAGUGAGUGAGUGAGUGAGUGAGAGAGAGAGAGGUGUCCUUGUGGACCUCACUCCCAGAUGCCAGGAGAGCGUGUGGGCUCAGACACAGCACUGAAUUAUUCAAACUGGAUGAACACGCUGGCUGAGAAGAGAGUUUGGCUGUGUCACUACAGCCAAGUGUGAAUCCCAGAACAGAUGAGUUUGGAUAGACUUCUUACCAAAUCUUCAGAUUUAGCUUCUGACAGUAAAUGUUUUCUCUAGAGUACAGCAACCAGGAAAAUUGUUUUGUUUUUUUUUAACUAUGUUAUUGAGAUCAGAGCCUUCAGAUAACUAGAAAAACCAAACAAACAUUUCUUUCUUGCAAAUAAAGUAAGUUAAACUGUGAGGAGAUGGUGAAUGGAUUGAAAACACUUUAAGAAAGAUGUAAUUUAGACUUGCUAGGGGCAUGUCAGGUGCGCUGAUGCAAAUGUAUCCACCUUCUGGUACAGAUAAAAGCAUGAAAUGCAUAGUUAAUGUGUAAUAAGUGAAGAGAGAGAAAACAAAAGCAGAACAAUAGAUACAGACACAUCCUUGGUGGCAGUUACUAAGUCCCCACCUUUGUUGAGUUUGGUCCUAGAGUAGGCCGGGGGGACCAAGGGGUGGAGAGGCUGGAGGACUAGAACUCUGAUGUCCAGAGGCAGAUAGAUGUGACUUUGGCCAGUGGAGGUGUGGGAGCUGGAACCUGGACCCUUGCCUAAAGUUCCGAGCCUGGAAGAUCUACUUGUCCCUUAAGGGGAGUAGAAAUUAAAACACCAGGCCAUACACGGGUGUCUGGGCCCCAGGCGGGUUCUCUUUCUCAGUGGUACAAGAACCAAAAGCAAAGCAUGAACAUAGAAAUAGGUCCAGACUCUCGAAGUCCAUUAAGGCCCUGGAUGGUGGCAAAUGCAGGAUCGUCCUGCGGGUACACCUCCACCAUCCGGAGCACACAGGCUGCAGAGGUCAGACAGUCUGCACUGAGGAUGCCUGAACAAUUGUCAGAACAACACAAAUGACACCCCUAGAUCUAUGGCUGGGGUGAGGGGGGCGUUGGGGACACAUCAGGAAUUAUAACGAGAAUACAAACCCCCAAGACUCUGAAAUAGAAAAGAACUUGAAAUUUGCCGUAAGACUGAUUGUUUUAAAUUUAAAAAUGAUUAAAGAGGAAAUAGAGGGGCGCCUGGGUGGCGCAGUCGGUUAAGCGUCCGACUUCAGCCAGGUCACGAUCUCGCGGUCCGUGAGUUCGAGCCCCGCGUCAGGCUCUGGGCUGAUGGCUCAGAGCCUGGAGCCUGUUUCCGAUUCUGUGUCUCCCUCUCUCUCUGCCCCUCCCCCGUUCAUGCUCUGUCUCUCUCUGUCCCAAAAAUAAAUAAACGUUGGAAAAAAAAAAAAUUUAAAAAAAAAAAAGAGGAAAUAGAGCCAUAAUCAAAGAUGAGUAUAGUGUGAAACGAGAAUUGGAAGGUUGAAAAAACUAACCUAAAAGUGAGUGACAUGGCCACUGAAGUUAGAUGUAGUUAAAGACAGAAUCCGUGAACUAGCUUUGUCUGGAGAGGUCAUCCAAAGCACCUCACGAGCUUAUAAAGAGACAGAAAGUAUAGAAGGUGUGAUGCAGAGUCUGAGGAAAGAAUGGAAACCCCAUCAGGAAAUCCAGAAGGAAGGAGUUUAGGGAAGAGGAGGAGAAAAUAAUGAAAUGACCUGACUUGAAAAGAUUCAUGGCUUUUGGAAAGAUAGUAGCUGAGAAUUUUCCAGAAUUAAAGGAAAGACAUGUGUAGCCAGACAGUCUUGAAGCAAAAGAACAAGGUGACGAAGGUCACCUGUCAGAUGUCAAGAUCCAUUACAGAGUGAUAAGGGUUAAGACGGUGCUGGCCCAGGGAUAGAGAAAUAGACCAGUGAGAUAAAAGGGAGAGCGUUAAACUUGCAUAUACGGCAACUGCCAACAGUGUAGAGACUCAACGGCAAGUCAGGCGGGAAGGACAAGGUCUCUCAACUGUGCUAACAUAUGUGGCCAUCUACAUGAGGAAAGGUAAGAGCAGAUCUCUGCCUCACAGAAAUCAAUCCUGGGAGGUGGGGGGAAGGUUAAAGACCCUAAAUGUCCACACAGAAUUGUACAAUCGAACAAACUCACAGGGGAAGGAUUGGUAUAUUUGUCUAUGAACAUAAGCUACGUCGCAUGCCAAAAUCCCUCCACACUGUUGAAGAAGAUCCCAUAAAGCAGGGAAGACAUUUGUGACAUACCAGAGAGUCGCAGAUAAAUGGACAAAGUGUAUGAAUUGGCAAUUGAGAAAAGAGGAAACUCAAUUAGCCAGUAAACAUAAACAGAUGUUAAGCCUUGCUAGUAAUUAAGGGUAUCAAAUUUAAGCAUCAAAUUGGCAGAUAAUAACAACGAUAAUAGCAAACCUCAGAAGCGUGGAGAAGGGAAUGGGACGUCCAUUCCGCUAGUCCUCCUCCCCUGACUUCGGUCCUACCUCCUUACCCUUUCCCCUGGCUUAGAUGGGAAGGUUUCCCAAACUUGAUCCCUGUCGAGAUGAUCGGUAGGAGACUGAUCAGGAAAGUUGUUCCGAGUCACUCAUUAGAAGCCGACGACAGAAGUGAGGGCGGGGUGUGGGGUGAAAGGCUCUGCCCACCUCAUUCGAGGCCGUGCACAUUGACACAGUGAAAGGGAGAGCAGAUCCCUGCUAGGGAGGGUGGUGGGCAUUCCUUGUGACCCAGAAGAUUCUUCCCUGGGAGGAAUGCACACAAGGUAAUUGUAGUUGCAUUGUUUGCCGAGCAAACAGCCAGAAACCCGACUGUCCUGUGGGACAGUGGGUAGGUGAGUUUGGGUAUAUGAAUUUGACAAAGUAUCACAGUAAAGAUGGAUGAACUUAAGGAAACUACAGGAGGAUGUGUAUAGAAUGAUGCCAUGUAGAUACAAUUUUAAACUUGUAAAACAUUGAUAUUAACUGAAAGAAGACAUUCCUGAGAAUGAGAAACUUCAGGUUCAGGAUGACGAGUUCGUUUCUCCUUAGGGAGUGAGGGCUCAGGACGUACAGGGUGUUCAAGUUGUGUCUGUCAUGCCCUGUCUCCCAAGCCAUGUGGUGCUUCGUGAGGGUGGGUCUGUUUGUGUCUAUACCUUUCUUGUGUUCCUGAAAUCAUGGUGGGUAGGCCUUGCGCAUGACCUGUCAGCGCAUCUCUCAUGGAGCUGCUUAGGAGGCAGGGAGGGGUCAUGCUUUGGCCACAGACCUCUUGUUGGUGAAAACAGACACCGGGAGACUUUGGAAUAGUGUCUUUGACGCGCUCAGAGGACAGGUCCUUUGUGGACAUGUGGGCUGGCUGUACUAAGCACGAGGCUAGGAUGGCCAGCGCAGCGGGGAUGGCAGAAGAGACCAUGUAAACAGACCAGUAACAGUGAAACAAAUUGGGAAAGUUCGCAAAAAGCUACCAUCGCAGAUGGCUUCUUAGGUUAAAAAAGUCCUACUUGAAGUAACAGAAGCAUGAGUUAACAUUAGAAAACCUACUGCAUUGAUCAGAGGAGAGAAACCAACGAUCAUCCAAAUCUAAAUAAAUGCAGGCUCCACAUCCCACUGAUGGGAAGAACUCAGCAAACCAGAACUAGAAGUGUUUAUCCUGGGAAGGUUUAGGGUUCGUCACACUGGGUGGAAGCAUUUCCGUUGAUGAAGAGGGAAACACAAGUUUGCUGCUGUCGCUCGCUCCCUGACUACCCAGGGAGGGGUAAUGCUUCCAUUUUGGACACCGUGAGAUGGGAGAAAAGAAGCAAUGGUGUAACAACUGGAAAGGAAAAGAUAAGUUUUUAUUUCAGAUGAUACAAUUACCCACAUAGGAGAUCCAAGAGAAGUCACAGAUAAAGUGCUAAAACUGAUAUUCAUCGCACUUGUUGGAUAGAAGAUGAACACUCAAACAGGAUAGAUGAAUGGAUAGAGAAACUAUAGACACACUCCAUGGAAUGUUACCCAGCCAUAAAAAAGAAUGAACUUCUGCCAUUUGCAACAACAUGGAUAAACCUCGGGGGUGUUACGCUGAGUGGGGUAAGUCGGAAAGAGACAUACCGUGCAGUCCCACUACCGCGUCGGAUCUUUUAUUUAAAAACAAAAGCGGCUAAUACAUACUGAGAACAGGCUGGUGGAUGCCCAGGGUAGGGAGUUGGAGAAAUGGGUGAAAGGGAUCAAAAGGUGAAACGGAAACAAAAAUUUUAAAAGACAGCAACAGCAGCAGCAGCGGGUAAGUGGAUUCUUUAAAGUCCUCAGACUCCUCACAAGGCAGCCUGCUUGAGAUCGCAGCAUCCCCUCGAGGUGCCAGAUGCCCCUUCCCUAGAGCCCAUGCCCGUGAGCUUGAGAGAAAACAAUUUUAUGAUGAUAGCCCGAUUUUGGAGAGUCUGUCCUCGGUGCCUGCUUUUGAAGUCCACGAAAGCUGUGUGUACAGUUUUGUUUUUAGCUUUAAACUCAAGGCUUUUCCUAGAAUGUCCCUUCCUCCACAUUCCCUAUUUUUUUUAAUGUUUAUUUUAUUAUUUUUGAGAGCGAGAGAGACAGAGUGUGAGCAGGGGAGGGGCAGAGAGAGAGGGAGACACAGAAUCAAAAGCAGCUCCAGGCUCCGAGCUGUCAGCACAGAGCCUGACAGGGGCUUGAACUCAGAAACAGUGAGAUCAUGACCUGAGCCGAAGUCGGACACCUAGCCACCCAAGCCACCCAGGCGCCCCCCUCCAUAUUCCCUAUUUGUAAAAUACGGUCUGUCUCGAGCAGCAACGUUCCCCUGUGUUCCCCUCAGCCCCGUUCCCCACGGACGUGAGUACCGUGAGUCUAUCUUCUUCUCCCCAGCAGGAGCCCCUGCCUCAGCCUCGGAAGGGGGAGGAGGUUGUGGGACGCCGCCCCGACUUCAGUUCUGCCCACGUGUCCUUUCCCCCUGGUCUAAGUGCCCUGCUUCCCAAACUUGAUCCUGUCACAGACAAUCGGUGGGGGGGAUUAUAAGCCGUUUGCUCAUUACUGUUCUGAGUUGAUCAUUAGAAGCUCUUGCUGAGUACUGCUGAGUACUACUGAGUACUGCUGAGUGCUGAGCUCUGUUCCUACUGCCCACUCCCGCCCCCUGCAAGGGUCUUCACUGGGUAGGCCGGGGCGCGUUCCAGUGCCUGAGAGCUCUGGAAAAGCUGGAGCAGAGGCAGAACGUGAUUUCAGGAAUCAGGGCUUCUUUGCCUUCACGUGGGCCCCCGCUGUCCUCAACGACUCAGACUCAUACUGGCACUUUAACUUCGUAAGGAGGUGGAAAGUUCAAAUACAGCAUUCCUGAAUUUCUCAGCAGUUCGUGCUGGGACCUGGUGGGAUGAGGGAGAGCUCACUCCUGGGCGUGCCCCUCCCUGCUGCUCAGUGCAGGCUCUGUCCUGCACGACACAGGGCCCGGGGCACACUGGAAGGGCACGUCCAGGUCCCACCCUCAUCCCCUCCCACCUCACCAUACCCCUCUCCAGCAAACAAGGGUGCUGUAGUGUGAUAGUGCUGUGGUCUGUCCUCAGCAGACGCAGGCCCGGGAAAUAGGCUCUGGAAACAGAGCAGGGGUGGGAACAUCCCGUUGGCCCCGUGGAUUCCUUACCCCAUGGAGAGGUACAGCCAGGAUGGGCUGGGGGGGUUCCUCUGGAACAUGAGGCCCAAGGUGGUGGGUACACUGUUAAGGGAGCUUGGAUGGAGGGGGAGAGAGAGAAACUCUUAGCAGUAAUAAUUAGGAAACAAAUCACACUCGUAUUAUUUCUUCUGGAUGUGAGGAGCAGCAAGCCCUUGGAUGACUAGAAGGACAGAACAAGAACUGCUUAAAGAAUAAAAUCUGUUCCACUCUGAGGAGACGGUGAAGUGCAUUAAAAGGCAAGUUAGUGCCUUAAGAAACGAUUUAGGCUUCCUAAAGUCUGGAUUUGACUUACUGGCCAAUAUCCUUUAAAUUCAACCUGAAGGAUGCCCUUCAGUAUUUCUUGUAGGGUAGGUCUAGCUGCAACAGACUUUCUCUGUUUAUCCAGAGAUACUUACAUAGCCCAUUCAUUUCUGGAGGAUAGUUUGGCUGGAUAUAGAAUUCUUGAUUGACGGUCUUUUAGCACUUUGAAUACACACUGUCACUGCCUUUUGACUUCUGUAUUUCUGAUGAGAAGUCAGCUGUUAACUUUCUGGAGGGUCCCUCUCCCUCUCUGCCUUCAGGAGGAUUUGAGUUUUGACAGUGUUAUUCUGCUGUGUUCAAGUCUGGACAUCUUUGGGUCUGAGGCCCUCCCAAUAUUAGAAACGAAUAAAAGCUCUCUUCUAAAACAUCUCUCUCUUGGUGGAAAUACAUUGGAGUUGUAUUUUAUCAAAAGUGGUAUAUUCCCCGUUUCUUAUAAGAUUACUUUUUAAGCCCAGUCAGGCCAUAAGGUGUGGUCAGUCAGCAUGAGACUCACAGGUAAGGCACAACACCCUCUUCCUGCCUGUCAUGUUGGAGACUCAGCGCCCAGAUCUCCCCUGUCAGCCACAGGGUGUUGCAGAGUCAGAGGACUAGGACCUUGCUUCUAGAUUGGUGAUAGGACAGGCUCCUUUUUGGGUGUACCUGUGGCUCUAUGCUCCAAGAGGGACAUUGACCAAGUGGAACGAAUUGAGGAGAGGGAAUGGAACGAGGCAGGAACUCCGAGCAUUGGCGAAAGGCUUAAAGGAGCAGUUUCUGUGUUUAAGAUUCUGGACUCGGUUGGGCGCCUGGGUGGCUCAGUCGGGUUGGGCAUCCGACUUCAGCUCAGGUCACGAUGUCGCAGUCCGUGAGUUCGAGCCCCGCGUCGGGCUCUGGGCUGAUGGCUCAGAGCCUGGAGCGUGCUUCUGAUUCUGUGUCUCCCUCUCUCUCUGCCCCUCCCCCGUUCAUGCUCUGUCUCUCUCUGUCUCAAAAAUAAAUAAACGUUAAAAAAAUUUUUAAGAUUCUGGACUCGGUUGGGCGCCUGGGUGGCUCAGUCAGGUUGGGCAUCUGACUUCAGCUCAGGUCACGAUGUCGCAGUCCGUGAGUUCGAGCCCCGCGUCGGGCUCUGGGCUGAUGGCUCAGAGCCUGGAGCGUGCUUCUGAUUCUGUGUCUCCCUCUCUCUCUACCCCUCCCCCGUUCAUGCUCUGUCUCUCUCUGUCUCAAAAAUAAAUAAACGUUAAAAAAAUUUUUAAGAUUCUGGACUCGGCCUUCAUAUUGACGUGGCUCCGUCUGUCUCAUUGUCCCGAGUCUUGUCCAUUCUGCCUCCAACACAUCUUCAGAUAACCCCAUCCAGUGGAAAGGGGGUGGCUGGGGACUGGAGGGAGAGCUCUCAGCAAAACAUUUUUUUAAAAAAAUUUUGGUAUUUGGGCUACAUGGUGGUGGUGCUAUUGGCAGCAGUAAUGAUGAUAUGAUGAUGAUGAUGAUGAUGAUGAUGAAGAAGAAGAAGAAGGAGGAGGAGGAGGAGGAGGAGGAGGAGGAGGAGGAGAAGAAUUAAAGAGCCUGAUCUAGUCCCCUCCCCCUGGGAUGUCCCUCCCUCAAGAGAGGCCCCAUCUUCCCUGGAGUCUUGCCUCCUGGCCCUGUCCACUGCACUCCCUCUCCCAGAGCAUCUCAGAGUGAGCUUCCCAAGCUCUGUGUGACCCCAUCUCUGCCACUUCCUGUGCCUGGGGCAGUGCUUCCUCGCCCAGGCUCCUGCUGCUGAGGGGCUCAGGACAAGAGCUUCCUGGCCAGAGAAGUUGGGGAAGUGCUAUGUCCUUUCCCCACCUUUUGGAGAGUUGAUGGGUAGUAGGUGAUUAAAGAGCCCAAGAACCACAGUAAAGACUCUUGUUUAAAUGUCCUUUUAUAAAGGGAUGCUUGUUACACAUGCAGUGCAGAGGCUAUUUUGGGAAACAGAGGCCUGUUGAAUAAAUUCAACACCUAUAAAUUUCACAAUCUGGGCACAGCAUGGCAUUCCAGAUAGAUCCCCUGUCCCUGCCUGUGUGUGCUGUGAACCCUAGCUUCAAUCAUCACAGAUGACUUCCCUGGUUCUGGGACAUUCUUUUUUAUUUUUUUUAUUUUUAAUUUUUUUUUUAAUGUUUAGUUUUGAGAGAGAGAGAGAGAGAGAGAGAGAGAGAGAAAGAGAGAGAGAGAGCACGAGCGGGGGAGGGGCAGAGAAAGAGGGAGACACAGAAUCCGAAGCAGGCUCCAGGCUCUGAGCUGUCAGCACAGAGCCUGACGAGGGCUUGAACUCAUGGACUGCAAGAUCAUGAUCUGAGCUGAAGUCAGAUGCUUAACCAACUGUGCCACCCAGGCACUCCUGGUUCUGGAACAUUCUGAUCUGUUCUCAUUGCCAGUGAGCCCUCUCACCUUGUAAGAUUGUGUUCUGCCUUCUUGGUCCACUAAAAUACCUGUCCUGUGUAAAGCCUUUGCUGACUGCUCCUUGGGUAGAAUCUGAGAUCUCCAGAGCAUCUUCUUCCAAUCUGCUAGGAUGAUCCAUCCUUGUGAAACAUGCUCACAAGCCUGGGUGCCACUUCCCCUGCCGUGUGCCAGUCCCAGGUCUUUCGUGUUGGGUCCCUGUGGCUCAGGGGAAUACCUACCUUCGAGGAAAUGGACACCAUCGUGGACCAGACCACUUUGUCCCCUCCACUGCCCGGCCCAGCCCACCCUUCCUGGCCUCCACAAGCCCAGGGAGCCACUGGCAUCGUGAUGUGGUCUUGGAGAGCAGGGCUCCCCUGCCAGCUGCUGUCAUUGGGCCACGGAUCCACACUGCUCUCUGCUGGGAUGGUGACCAACUGGGACGAAGGUUUCUAGACUCUGGACAAGACCUCUCACUUCACUGUGGCACAGUGUCGGGCCACCUGUCUGCCCCUAGCCAUCUGGUCCUUCCCAGUUAUUUCUGCGGGCAAAGGCGAGGAGGCCUCAGGUGGGAUGGACAGAAGCCCUGGACUGUUACCAACUGGGGUUACUUCCCCUGACAGGAACCACUACAGCUUCUCUGUGUUGGGUUCCUAUUCAGUAUUUAGUCAAUGUCGUUUGAAAAAAUUCUAUUUCACGGGAUGCCUGGUUGGCUCAGUCAGUUGAGCGUCCAACUCUUGACUUCGGCUCAGGUCAUGAUCUCACAGUAUAGGAGCUCGAGCCCCACGUCGGGCUCUGUGCUGCUGACAGUGUGGAGCCUGCUGUGAAUCCUCUGUCUCCCUCUCUCUCUGCCCCUCCCCUGCUCGCACUCUAUUGCUCUCUCUCAAAUAAAUAAACAUAAAAAAAUAAUUCUAUUUUAUGAACAUAUAAGUUAUAUUUUCAGUCUCUUUGUUUUCCCUCAUAGCAUGUAGGAAAGAAGAAAAAUGUUUAUUUGAGAACAUUCUAUGUAACAGGCGCUGUAGGAAGUGCUCUAAAUAUGUUUUAUUAUAUGUUCUGGAUACUCUGUAAAUGUAGAUUCACCUCAGAAAUAAAACAUUCGUACAAGUGUGCGCCCUGUCGUUCUAAACGCAGUGCUUUGUGUCAGUGGACAGACAACCGCAGCAAAUUACUUCCCACGGUGUACUUUUGUGUCAUCGUAGGGACAUCUUAGCCACACGGAGAACUAUUAGAAGGUGCAAGCGAGAAGGCUCCGGUCUGGGUUCCAGCCAUCCACGUGCCAGCGAGUGUCGUGUCCUGGACGGACGUGGGCGCCCACCUGUUCACGCUGCAGCCCGUUGUCCUCUCGCUCGGGUGACCCCCUUGUCCACCACGCCAGAGCCAGGAGGACCCCGUCCCCUCAGAGGAGCCUUCCGACCGUUGUUACCUGCCACAGCCUCCUUUCAGAUGCAUCGUUUGCAUCAUGUCAAAGUUAAAAAAAGAUCCAUCGUCAGAUUCCCUAUGAGGUUUGAGGGCCCAGUGGCUUAUGGAGUUUCGUCGGGGCUCUUCCGUCAGGCUUUCCAGUUGUUGUGUGGGUGUGUCCAGGGCUGCUUAUGCUCUUUUUUAACUAAAAGACUUAUUUUUAUAUUUAAAAUACUCUAUAAUCUUAACCUGGAUUUUACUAAAUGCUGGUAUCCAAUCUGUUCCAUGUAAUUCCCCAACCGAAGUUGUCAGGCACAGGGCUUCCUUUAUAUUAAAGUGAAAUUUCUUAUUUCUCUCGGGUUUUCUAUGCAUCGUCGGG
rnacentral:lncRNA from 1 species